rnacentral:rRNA from 1 species
AUUGAACGCUGGCGGCAGGCUUAACACAUGCAAGUCGAGCGGAGAUGAGGUGCUUGCACCUUAUCUUAGCGGCGGACGGGUGAGUAAUGCUUAGGAAUCUGCCUAUUAGUGGGGGACAACAUUCCGAAAGGAAUGCUAAUACCGCAUACGCCCUACGGGGGAAAGCAGGGGAUCUUCGGACCUUGCGCUAAUAGAUGGGCCUAAGUCGGAUUAGCUAGUUGGGGGGGUAAAGGCCUACCAAGGCGACGAUCUGUAGCGGGUCUGAGAGGAUGAUCCGCCACACUGGGAAUGAGACACGGCCCAGACUCCUACGGGAGGCAACAGUGGGGAAUAUUGGACAAGGGGCGGAAGCCUGAUCCAGCCAUGCCGCGUGUGUGAAGAAGGCCUUUUGGUUGUAAAGCACUUUAAGCGAGGAGGAGGCUACUUAGAUUAAUACUCUAGGAUAGUGGACGUUACUCGCAGAAUAAGCACCGGCUAACUCUGUGCCAGCAGCCGCGGUAAGAC